rnacentral:rRNA from 1 species
UACGUAGGGCGCAAGCGUUAUCCGGAUUUAUUGGGUUUAAAGGGUGCGUAGGCGGGUUAUUAAGUCAGUGGUGAAAGCCUUCAGCUUAACUGAAGAACUGCCAUUGAUACUGAUGAUCUUGAGUAUGAUUGAGGUGGGCGGAAUGUGUCAUGUAGCGGUGAAAUGCUUAGAUAUGACACAGAACACCGAUUGCGAAGGCAGCUCACUAAGCCAUAACUGACGCUGAUGCACGAAAGCGUGGGGAGCAAACAGG